rnacentral:rRNA from 1 species
GAUGAACGCUGGCGGCGUGCUUAACACAUGCAAGUCGAACGGAAAGGCUCCUGCUUGCAGGGGUACUCGAGUGGCGAACGGGUGAGUAACACGUGGGUGAUCUGCCCUGCACUUCGGGAUAAGCCUGGGAAACUGGGUCUAAUACCGGAUAGGACGAUGGUUUGGAUGCCAUUGUGGAAAGUUUUUUCGGUGUGGGAUGAGCUCGCGGCCUAUCAGCUUGUUGGUGGGGUAAUGGCCUACCAAGGCGUCGACGGGUAGCCGGCCUGAGAGGGUGUACGGCCACCUUGGGACUGAGAUACGGACCAGAAUCCUACGGGAGGCAGCAGUGGGGAAUAUUGCACAAUGGGCGCAAGCCUGAUGCAGCGACGCCGCGUGGGGGAUGACGGCCUUCGGGUUGUAAACUACUUUCGCUAGGGACGAAGCGCAAGUGACGGUACCUGGAGAAGAAGCACCGGCUAACUACGUG